GACGAACGCUGGCGGCGUGCUUAACACAUGCAAGUCGAACGGACAGACAGAGAGCUUGCUCUCUUGAAGUUAGUGGCGAACGGGUGAGUAACGCGUAUCAACCUGCCCUUCAGAGGGGGAUAACAACGGGAAACCGUUGCUAAUACCGCGUACGAUUCAUGAACGGCAUCGUUUAUGAAUGAAAGGUGGCCUCUAUGUAUAAGCUAUCGAUGAAGGAGGGGAUUGCGUCUGAUUAGCUAGUUGGAGGGGUAACGGCCCACCAAGGCAAUGAUCAGUAGCCGGUCUGAGAGGAUGAACGGCCACAUUGGGACUGAGACACGGUCCAAACUCCUACGGGAGGCAGCAGUGGGGAAUCUUCCGCAAUGGACGAAAGUCUGACGGAGCAACGCCGCGUGAGUGAUGAAGGUCUUCGGAUUGUAAAGCUCUGUUAAUCGGGACGAAAGAGUUCUGCGUGAAUAAUGCAGAAAAGUGACGGUACCGGAAUAGAAAGCCACGGCUAACUACGUGCCAGCCGCCGCAGUAA
rnacentral:rRNA from 1 species